rnacentral:lncRNA from 1 species
UUAUUGAUUGACCAUUUUAUUCAAACAUAACCAAAGAAAGCUACAAAUUAGAAAAAGUCAUAUCUUAUCUUAAAGUGUAUAAAUAUACAUUUUGUUGGACCAGCCAACUGAAACAUAUUCCUCCGAAAUUAAACUAUGCUAAAUGGAUUUCAUAUUAAAGUUUAAACACAUCUAUCAUACAGUCAACUGAAAAUUAAGCAUCAUAACUUAUACCUUACUUAUUCUUACUUAUAAUUCUUUUAAAUGACCUGUAUUAACAGCAAUAGUUCUUAUUAGAUUAAGAUUUUUUUAAUUUGUAAAGGUAAAAAUUCACACAUAGAAAUACUAAAAUAAUGAAAAUUUUAACU